GCGGGCGUAGUUCAGCGGUAGAACGUCAGCUUCCCAAGCUGAAUGUCGCCGGUUCGAUUCCGGUCGCCCGCU
rnacentral:tRNA from 2 species